rnacentral:rRNA from 1 species
AACGAACGCUGGCGGCAGGCCUAACACAUGCCGGUCGAGCGGACCCUUCGGGGUUAGCGGCGGACGGGUGAGUAACGCGUGGGAAUAUGCCCUUCUCUACGGAAUAGUCCUGGGAAACUGGGGGUAAUACCGUAUACGCCCUUGGGGGGAAAGAUUUAUCGGGGAAGGAUUAGCCCGCGUUGGAUUAGGUAGUUGGUGGGGUAAUGGCCUACCAAGCCGACGAUCCAUAGCUGGUUUGAGAGGAUGAUCAGCCACACUGGGACUGAGACACGGCCCAGACUCCUACGGGAGGCAGCAGUGGGGAAUCUUAGACAAUGGGGGCAACCCUGAUCGAGCCAUGCCGCGUGAGUGAUGAAGGCCUUAGGGUUGUAAAGCGCUUUCAGCUGGGAAGAUAAUGACGGUACCAGCAGAAGAAGCCCCGGCUAACUCCGUG